rnacentral:rRNA from 1 species
UACGGAGGGGGCUAGCGUUGUUCGGAAUUACUGGGCGUAAAGCGCACGUAGGCGGCUUUGUAAGUUAGAGGUGAAAGCCCGGAGCUCAACUCCGGAAUUGCCUUUAAGACUGCAUCGCUAGAAUUGUGGAGAGGUGAGUGGAAUUCCGAGUGUAGAGGUGAAAUUCGUAGAUAUUCGGAAGAACACCAGUGGCGAAGGCGACUCACUGGACACAUAUUGACGCUGAGGUGCGAAAGCGUGGGGAGCAAACGGG